AUACUUACCCGGCAGGGGAGAUACCAUGAUCACAAAGGUGGUUUUCCCAGGGCGAGGCUCACCCAUUGCACUCCGGAUGUGCUGACCCCUGUGAUUUCCCCAAAUGUGGGAAACUCAACUGCAUAAUUUGUGGUAGUGGGGGACUGCGUUCGUGCUAAA
rnacentral:snRNA from 1 species